rnacentral:lncRNA from 1 species
AUGACAACCUUCCAAAAGCACCGAGAGUUCGUGGCAGAGCCCAUGGGGGAAGAGCCAGUGGGGAGCCUGGCCGGGUGAAGUCCUGGGCAAGAAGCCGGAGGAAAGGGGCUUUGACAAAGCCUAUGUUGUCCUUGGCCAGUUUCUGGUGCUGAAGAAAACUGAAGACCUCUUCCAGGAAUGGCUGAAGGACACUUGUGGUGCCAACGCCAAGCAAUCCCAGAACUGCUUCUGAUGCCUUUAAGAGUGGUAGGACAACUUCUUGU